CGCCGCGGUUAAACGGGCGGGCCCAAGUUGACCUAAUUUCGGCGUAAAGGGUGGUUAAUAGUAGACGCGCUAAAGCCGAACGUCUUCGAAGCUGUGAUACGCCCCGAAGAUAGGAAGCCCUUUCACGAAAGUAGCUUUAAGCAUUAUGACCCCACGAAAGCUAGGAGA
rnacentral:rRNA from 1 species